rnacentral:rRNA from 1 species
AUUGAACGCUGGCGGCAGGCCUAACACAUGCAAGUCGAGCGAGCGGCGGACGGGUGAGCAAUGUAUGGGGACUGCCCGAUAGAGGGGGAUAUCUACUGGAAACGGUAGCUAAUACCGCAUACUAUCGGAUAGCCCAUAUGGGAUUAGCGAGUAGGUGGGGUAAAGGCUCACCAAGGCAACGAUCCGUAGCUGGUGUGAGAGGACGACCAGCCACACUGGGACUGAGACACGGCCCAGACUCCUACGGAGGCAGCAGUGGGGAAUUUUGGACAAUGGGGGAAACCCUGAUCCAGCCAGCCCGCGUGUAUGAUGAAGGCCUUCGGGUUGUAAAGUACUUUUGGCAGAGAAGCGGUAUCUGCAGAAUAAGCACCGGCUAACUACGUGCCAGCAGCCGCGGUAAUAC